UAAUGGUUGAGUUUGGUGAUGGCUCUGAUUGAAUGCUGUUCAAGUGCUUGACACAUGCUAAUCGUACGUUUUAAUUUUUAACAUUAAGUAACUACAAUACUAAAGGUUAUUAAUUAAAAAGUGGUGUACAGGUGAGUAUAAAGAUAUAAUUCGCCGACCUUAAAGAGAAGGUAAAUCCUUCAUAAUCAAUAAAGGGGUACAGUUCCUGCUUUAAGAGGAUGAUAAAUAUCUUCGGGAUAGGUAGUAGUUAAGGUGAUGACUUAACUAGCCGACAACUCUCGUAGUCGAAUCUGAAAGGUUGAUCGACCACAUUGGGUCUGAAAAAACCCCAAUGCAAAUUAGUACAGCAGUGAGGAAUUUUGGUCAAUGGCCUAACGGCUGAACUGGCAACUUGGAGAAGUGGCAAGUCCUAUUUUGAUCAUAUCCUAAAAGAUGAUCUAUAGGAUUGUAUUAAAAUUGAAUAAAGCUUUGUUUAUAUAUUGAUAAUGACAGUAUGUAUAUUGUGUCUUGACUAAUUACGUGCCAGCAGUCGCGGUAAUACGUAAGAGACUAGUAUUAUUCAUCUUAAUUGGGUUUAAAGGGUACCUAGACGGUCAAUAUAGCUUAUAUAAUGUUAGUACUUGACUAGAGUUUUAUAUGAGAGGGGAGUACUUGAGGAGGAGAGAUGAAAUUCUUUAAUACCAAAGGGACACGGUAAAGGCGAAGGCACCCCUUUAGGUAAAAACUGACGUUGAGGGACGAAGGCACAGAGAACAAACAGGAUUAGAUACCCUAGUAGUCUUUGCAGUAAAUGAUGAAUGCCAUAGAUUAGAUGAACAAUUUAAUAACUUAGUUCGUCAGUAAACAAUUAAUAUUAAAUAUUCUUUGGUCUAUAAAUGAAAGUGUAAGCAUUCCACCUCAAGAGUAAUGUGGCAACGCAGGAACUGAAAUCACUAGACCGUUUCUGACAACAGUAGUGAAGUAUGUUGUUUAAUUCGAUGAUCCACGAAAAACCUUACCACAAUUUGUAUAAUAAUAUUACAGGAGUUGCACGGCUGUUUUCAGUUAAUGUUGUGAAACUGUGGUUUCCAUGUAAUUAACGAAAUCCCUGGCUUUAUUUUUGGAUAGCUGCUGAUUUUCAAAAAAAUAUAGCAAGCUACUACGAUAAAGCAUUAGAUCCUGGAGAUUUGGAUAGAAAAAGGGGACAAAGACAAGUCAUCAUGGCCUUUAUAUUGUGGGCUAUAGACGUGCCACAUCUUCCUAGACAAAGAGAUGCAAAAAUGUGAAUUUAAGCUAAUCUCAAAAAAUAGGAUAAAAAUUUUAAGGAUUGUAGUCUGAAAUUCGACUACAUGAAUAAGUAAUUACUAGUAAUCGUGAAUCACCAUGUCACGGUGAAUUGCACUCGGAUUGGUACUAACCACUCGUCACAUGCUGAAAAGAGCUUAUGCAAUAAGUUUGCUUUCUUAGUAAUUAGUAAAAAAAACAUGUAGGUUUUGUAUAGAUAUGUUAUCUAUGUACAGCACCAAAGCUGUCUAUUAUUGGGAAUCUUCGUAUGCGCGGUUCUAAUUAGUGUUAAGUCGAAAUACGGUUCGUGUAGUGGAAGUUGCACGGGAUUGAUUAACAUA
rnacentral:rRNA from 1 species